rnacentral:lncRNA from 1 species
GUGAGAAUGUCGCUUUAGUGCUCCCUCUUCUUCACCACUUGGGAUAAGGGAGGCUGAGUCACAGCCACUGGACCAAAGGGAGACGCUGGUACAGCAACUGAGUGUAUAGAGCUGGCAACUGACCAUGUAUAACUGGCAAUGAACAUGUAUAAUUGGCUGCUCAUAGCUUUGCUGCGAGCCUGCGCUCUCAUGAGCAGCUGAUGAGCAUGUGUACAAUUAUGAACCCACUUUACAGAAAAGAAACAGAGCUAUCUAUCCCAUCUUGAGAUGUAUCUUUCAUUUGCAAGCAAAAGCAGAGGACCCUGAAUUCGAGGAAGUGGCGUGGACACUACCUGGGAAGAGAAAUAUUGAAAGGACGAGUAUUCCACAGAUGUUGGGAUUCUCUGGAUUCAGGCAGCCCCUAGAACCGGGAACCAGCAGAGGAUUCUGGGUAUGAGGCCUGCCUUACACAGAAAAGCAGCCCUGUUGUUGGCUGAGUGCAAAU